UACGGGGGAUGCAAGCGUUAUCCGGAUUUAUUGGGUUUAAAGGGUGCGUAGGCUGUGAGGUAAGUCAGAAGUGAAAGCCCGGGGCUCAACUCCGGGACUGCUUUUGAAACUGUGUAACUGGAGUGCAGGAGAGGUGAGCGGAAUUCCUGGUGUAGCGGUGAAAUGCGUAGAUAUCAGGAGGAACACCAGUGGCGAAGGCGGCUUACUGGACUGUAACUGACGUUGAGGCUCGAAAGCGUGGGGAGCAAACAGG
rnacentral:rRNA from 1 species